rnacentral:lncRNA from 1 species
CCUAAUCAAGCCUGGGCAAUGGCGGGCGCCCCUACCCCAGCCUGGCUGCCGCCUUGCAGUUUGAUCUCAGACUGCUGUGCUAGCAAUCAGCGAGACUCCGUGGGCGUGGGACCCUCCGAGCCAGACAGGGCCUCAUUAUGUUGCCCAGGCUGGUUUUGAACUCCUGGGCUCAAGUGAUCCUCCCACGUAGGCCUCCCAAAGUGCUGAGAUUAUAGACAUGAGCCACCACACCUGGCAGGU